rnacentral:lncRNA from 10 species
AAGGUGAGCUGGCCAGGACGCCCAACCGGGCACCGCCCGUCCCUUUCUUCCACUGCGCCCGGGGCCCAGCCGGCCCGACCAGGCCCCGGGAGCCUCCUGCGGCGCCUCCGCCCACUCCUUCUCCCAGCCCGCGCCCGAGGGCUUCCGGGCCGCGCCCCACAAGCGCCUCAUCCGCUACUCUUGAUUCUCUCUCAACUGAUCCGGUUUCCCUCUGCGCGCGCCCACCGCCCUGGCCCUCGCUCACUGUGGCCCGAACCCUCGCCUUCCAGAGGGAAGGCCCGGUUCAUCCCUGGGAAGGUACAGGAGGCUCGAGACCUUCUAAAGCAGCUGCCGCGCAGGAGCAGGCCCUAGAACAGACGGAAGGCGGACCCGGCGCCGCGGAACGGAGGAUAGCGUCGGCUUCCUGCCGUUGGGCCUAGCCACCCGCCAGCGACGCCCGCCGGAGGGAGGGAUUGAGGGAGGGAGGGAGUCCAGAGGCCGGGGGAACGUGCGAGCAGAGGCGCGGCCACCGCAUCCGUGGCCAGGAUCUCGUGGCCCGCCGAGACGGUCGAAUUGUGGAGGCAGCCCGCAGCGGCGUGGCCUUCAGAGUCUCUGCAUUUGGUGAAGAACUUAAGUUUUCAAUGUGAGUGCUCAUAAGAACAUUUCCUUUGCCUGCCAGCCCAGUAAAGGAUAGAGAACAAAAUGUUUUCUUAGCAAUCAAAACAUGUUCUUUCCUUUGGUCCCCUACCAAAUAAGUCUGACUUGCCGGCUCAUAGUAGUAUUGCUUGUACCAAGACGCACAGGACUCAUAAACCAAAGAUGAAGAUGUGACCCCCCCAAGGCCCUUGUCGUCAAGGAAUUUAUUGCCUGUUCAGUGAGAUGAAUGAAUGAAUAUCACUAUUAAUUUUACCAAGCACUUAAAAAACAUUUUCUGCACCCAUGAAAGUUAUGCAAAAUAGUUUGGAUGAUAAAAUGAUGACGAAGAUAAAUAUUCUAGCACCCAAGUUAAGGGUGUAAAGACAGUAUCGCACUGGCCUCUUCUACCUUAUUAGGCGACACUGGAGACAUCUACGUCUACAGUCACUUGAGAAAUUUUUUACCUACGGGUUGAAUUUGAAUUUCUGGGUGUUCGCUUUGGUUUAUGAUAUUCAACUUUUAUUCAGGGGAUUUCCAAAUAGAUCAGGGGCGGGGCUGCUGACCUAAGGAGAGGAGAAAGUUUUGAGAGAAGUUUUAGUAGAUCACAGCUGUGCAUCAGUGGAGUCCCACUGAUACUAGGGGAGAAAUAGACAGUGCUGGGAAUGGGGCAAUCCUGCCAGGUGUUUUUGAUGUUAUGCCUACAGAAAAUAAAUUUGCGUUAGCCAUAUGAAUUUAAGAAUGUUUUCAUUAAAAAUCAAGUAUAGGCCAGGCGCGGUGGCUCACGCCUAUACUCCCAGCACUUUGGGAGGCCGAGGCGGGCGGAUCCCGAGGUCAGGAGAUCGAGACCAUCCUGGCUAACACGGUGAAACUCUGUCUCCACUAAAAAUAAAAAAAAAUUAGCCAGGCUUGGUGGCGGGCGCCUGUAGUCCCAGCUACUCGGGAAGCUGAGGCAGGAGAAUGGCGUCAACCCAGGAGGCGGAGCUUGCAGUGAGCCCAGAUCGCGCCACUGCACUCCAGCCUGGGCGACAAAGCGAGACUCCGUCUCGGAAAAAAAAAAAAAAAAAUCAAGCAUUGUGUGUAAAAGCUUCUAUAAAAGUGGCUUCCGGGUGGCGCUCUCUGCAGGGCCACAGCCUCAGUUUGGAGACUAGAUGGAGGAUGUUAGGUGUUCUGGCUAGGCCCAUCAACCUAGUAACAUUUCCUCCUGCACAGUAAAACCUUUCAUAAUGCUUCUGGGGUUUUUUGUUUGUUUGAAAAACAGAAAUUAGAAAUCAAAUAUUUUAUUUGAAAUUAGACAUUUCAGUGACUUUUUUCCACUCUUACUUUUAAUUAAAAGAAAAAGCUAUAAAUGCACAAAUUACUUGUUUAAACGAAAUAAAGGAAAAAGUGUAUUGGCUUCUCUUUUUAUGCAAUUCAAGAAUCCAGCCAUUUAUUCACAUUCUUCUCCCUCUUCAGUUAAAUAAGACAUCACAGAUAGAGCCUAACAUUGUGUCUGGCACGUGGCCGGUAGGCAUUUGGGAAAUAUUACCCUGCUUGAUUGCUUCCUUCCACCACUCCCGAUUUUCUCUUAAGCCUCCGAAUGUUCCAAUUAAGCCAUCUUUUUACCUGAAGAAUGCCCGAGGUCUCAUGCAUAUCAAUUUUCUUUGUGCCCUCUUACCUCGGUAGGGUUGAGACCACAAACUGCCCCUACUAUACCCUUAUUUGAUGUGGGAGGAGGGGAUACUAGGUAGUAAGGUGUGUCUGGAUGAAUGGAAACCAGUCGUGACUUCGCAAAUUGCUGGUUGAAGGUCAUACGUGAUCAUUGUGCAUCUCAUACAUGCACAAACAUUCACAGGGGACUGGAUUGUUCUUAUUUUAAAAGAGCCAUUGGUAGGGUAGAGGAGAAGGAAAGGGAGGAAAGGAGUUAUGGGAAAUUAAUAAAUUUACUCACUUGUUCAUUUAACAAAUUGGGAAACAAAUGCAAAACACGGUUUCUACCUUCAAAAAUCUACGAGAGAAACAGAUAGUGGGGAGGGAAGGGAUCAUGGAAGGCUUUGAGGAGGUGGCUCCUGGAAUAAUUAGGAAUCAUUACAAUGCAGAGGAAGAGGGCUGAGGUGUUAGUUGCCACAGAGGGAGCAGCACUGCAGAGGCCAGGGAGGGAAGACUGGGGCAGUAGGCGAGGAAUUACUAGGGUAUAGUUUGGCGAAGGAGAUGGUGUUUAUCCUGCAGGCUGUCGAGAAAGUCCUUGGAAGGCUUUAACAAAGGAAGGA